UACGAAGGGGGCUAGCGUUGCUCGGAAUCACUGGGCGUAAAGCGCACGUAGGCGGAUUGUUAAGUCAGGGGUGAAAUCCUGGAGCUCAACUCCAGAACUGCCUUUGAUACUGAAAAUCUUGAGUCCGGGAGAGGUGAGUGGAACUGCGAGUGUAGAGGUGAAAUUCGUAGAUAUUCGCAAGAACACCAGUGGCGAAGGCGGCUCACUGGCCCGGUACUGACGCUGAGGCACGAAAGCGUGGGGAGCAAACAGG
rnacentral:rRNA from 1 species